AGAGAAGGGUGUCCCAGAUGUAGGCAAAGCGUCCUCCAUGUGUUCCUGGAGGACCGUCCCAAGUCCUUCUCCAUUCUCCCAACCUCUUGGGCCUGGAAGUCAGACAAGUACCGGUGAUUGCCGGUUUCUUGUCUGAUUUUUGCACUUCUCUGGCAAGCUGCCCCCUCUGAAGAGUUGACUAUUUGGGAGUUACUCACUGAUGGUUCAGCCACUUCCAGAACCUACCCCAAGAGCAAGACUUGAAACCAACUCGCACCCUCAAAGCUCCGGAAGCCAUUCAGUGUUUCCAUCUUGGCUGAGUGAGUUCUUCACUGAAACUCAAUUUGACUUUGACAGUCAUCUAAUGAGAACUCAAAAGUCAUUCUUGGUUCAGCCACAGUCAAAGAACUUGCAGAGCAUUCUCUGACGAGGUCCUCAAGGACAACUGAGAGAAGGUCCCAUUCCAGGUCUUGCCCAAGUCUUUCUGAUUGGUGGGACUUAAAUCACACCCAAAAUUCCAGCUGCAGGAGAGCUCUGAGAUUUCAUCUUUCCAACCUCUGUGUGCUACGUGGGGGUUGGAGCACUUGCUGACAAGCCUUGCAACCACCAUUGACAGGAUGUCCUCCACCUUUUCAAUCUGAUUUGCUCUUUGCCAUGCAGACCUGUGGAUGAAGAGCCAGAGUCCUCCAAGGUGAAGCUGGACUGAAUAUUUCUGUCCAUAAGACUAUUAGAAUCCCCCAAAGUGGGAUACCAGUGAGGACCUCACCAGCAGCUGCUGUCUCUCCAAUGCAGGUAGAUGAGCCUCAGAAAUAACCGCUGCUUGUGGUUUGCUGUGUAUUCCUCUAGAUGUUUUUCUUUACACAUAUUAGUGAGUGUGGAGAGAGAGUGUGUAUGUGUUCUGUAAAUUUGAUUACACUGCGCAUUUAUUCCGAAAUCCAUUUCACUUUACCGUUGGAACGUAAGCUCUGUGAGGGCAGAGACUUUUGUUUAUUGCACUUGCUGUUAGAGCUCUUGUCUGUAACAGUGGCUGGCACAUGGUCACAUCAUAGUAGAAGCUCAAUAAAUAUUUGUUGAAUGAAUGAAAAAA
rnacentral:lncRNA from 1 species